UAUUACUUCUUGUCCUAUCACUCUCCUUGUCCUAUCCUAAGUGCCCUCAGAAAAGGUCAGUGUUUGUCCAUUGACUGGGAAUAGACAUUAGGCAACCAGUGUAGCUUGGACAACUGCCUUUUUGACUUAAAAUCAGAUGGGAUGGAUCUAAUGCCAGGAGAUGUGCUGGAAGAAAUGAUGAACACUUAGAGUACCAAUAGAAGAGAUAAUAGAAGCAAGGCUUAUUUAGGACUGCUGAAAGAUCAGACUGGACAACAACUUCAAAAGAACACAAAAUAAGUAGACACUGUCAUGUUUUCAUUCUUAUCUGUCAGUACAUAAAUUUAUGAAGGCUAGAAUUAGAAUAUUGAUAAUUCUUAAUCUCAGGAGAAAGUCUGAAAGAUAAAUCCAUUAAAAUUUGAAUUUAUGAUAUAAUGGUAUGAUAUAAUGGUGAUUAUUUUCACUAUUUUUUAAAAGAUUUGAUGCCACAAUCAGUGGAUUUGUAAGAAAGUUGGAUAAUGACUACAUAGCCAGAAAACAGACAAGCAAAAAGUUCUGUACUAUUCCUUACUUGUCCAUUGGGAUCAAAAGAAUUUGGGUACUUUGAAAAGCUUUAGAUUGAUGCAGGUCACAGUCUGAACAUCUACAUGGAAUUCAGACUUGGUCAUACCAUCUCAGAAACAGAAAGGCUAACAGUAUAUUACUUAAUUUGAGGGCAUGGUAGGAUUUCAAGCAUUAAGAUGUUAAAUAGGAUAUUUCUUUGGUUCUGCAGGUCUUGGUGUUUCUAAUGAACACCUGAGGUUCAGACCUCUAGAAACUUGGUGUUUCUAGAGCAGCUGAGGGUGCUUUAUUAGAAACAACUGAGAACAAUUAGAUACUUACUUCAUAUCAAUACCAAUACUGACAUCAAUUCUUUCUGCUCUUAAACAUACUUUUUAGCCUUUUUUAUGCAGCACUUAUGUUUUCCUCUUGCUUUUCUGAGCAUUCUAUUCUUCCAAAUCACUUGGUGUUAUCUUCAAUCUUCCUUCCCUUCCCACUCAUACAUUGUCCCCCGCCCCCCAGAAAUGUGUGCUAGGUUUGAAAGUUGUCCUAAUGACUUUAAAGAUUAGAAAAGCAAAAGGAAAACCAAAUGAUUUUGAAAAGUGCACUAAUAUGAUCUUUUAGAGUGGAAGGAUGUGAAGUGAAGGAUGGAGAAAAACAGUAUCUGCACAAACAUAUCCAGAACACCAGUCCACUUAGCAAACUGGUUUGGAUCUGCCAUACUUACAGAUAUCCUGUAGUUGCUUGAAAUACUGUUUGUACCAAAUAGAUGUGCACCAGUCUGGAUGCCUGAAGAAGAGGUAUUCCCAAGCUGAAAGUAACUAUUUAUUUUGCUAAUGUUGUAUCUAUACAGCCCUUUGAAAACAUCAGGUACCACUUACGUGUUAUUACAUUCAAAUAAUAAUAAAAACACAUGAAGCAUCAGAUAUUUAACCCUCUCUAUCCCCAAGAAACACACAAAUACAGUACUGUUCUAAUAAAUCCUUAAUUUU
ensembl:lncRNA